rnacentral:sRNA from 1 species
GAAGUAAAAGUCGUAACAAGGUCUCCGUUGGUGAACCAGCGGAGGGAUCAUUACCGAAGUUACCCUUCAAACCCAGUUGUGAACCAUACCUACUGCCGCGUUGUCUCGGCGGGGAGGUCGGACGUCGGGGGUGGGGCUCGCGCCCCGCCGCCGCACGGCCCGGCCCCCGCCGGCGGCGCCAAACUCUAAAUCUGCAAAGCGUACUGCAUGCUCUGAUUUAAAACAAAAACAAGUAAAAACUUUCAACAACGGAUCUCUUGGUUCUGGCAUCGAUGAAGAACGCAGCGAAAUGCGAUAAGUAAUGUGAAUUGCAGAAUUCAGUGAAUCAUCGAAUCUUUGAACGCACAUUGCGCCCGGCAGCAAUCUGCCGGGCAUGCCUGUCCGAGCGUCAUUUCUCCCCUCGAGCAGCGGUUCCCAGUCCUCCGGGGCUGGGGCCGCGGCCCGGUGUUGGGGUCCUGCGGCCUGGCCGCAGUCCCCGAAAUGAAGUGGCGGUCCCGCCGCGGCGCCCCCUGCGUAGUAGUCUACACCUCGCAUCGGGUCCCGGCGAAGGCCAGCCGUCGAACCUAACUUUUGAUGGUUUGACCUCGGAUCAGGUAGGGUUACCCGCUGAACUUAAGCAUAUCAAUAAGCGGAGGA